rnacentral:SRP_RNA from 1 species
UGUUAGUUACCUCUCGAUGAUAAAUUGCCAACCCCGCCAGACCCGGAAGGGAGCAACGGUAGUGAUUGAUUCAUGCGUGAGGAAUGGCUGAUGGAG